GACGAACGCUGGCGGCGUGCCUAAUACAUGCAAGUUGAACGCUUGAUUUUCACCGAAGCUUGCUUCACCGAAAAUCAAGAGUAGCGAACGGGUGAGUAACGCGUGGGUAACCUACCUAUCAGCGGGGGAUAACUAUUGGAAACGAUAGCUAAUACCGCAUAACAAUGUUGGAUGCAUAUUCGACAUUUGAAAGUACCAACUGGUACACUGAGAGAUGGACCCGCGUUGUAUUAGCUAGUUGGUAGUGUAAUGGACUACCAAGGCGAUGAUACAUAGCCGACCUGAGAGGGUGAUCGGCCACAUUGGGACUGAGACACGGCCCAAACUCCUACGGGAGGCAGCAGUAGGGAAUCUUCGGCAAAUGGACGAAAGUCUGACCGAGCAACGCCGCGUGAGUGAAGAAGGUUUUCGGAUCGUAAAACUCUGUUGUUAGAGAAGAACGUUGCAUAGAGUGGAAAAUUAUGCAAGUGACGGUAUCUAACCAGAAAGGGACGGCUAACUACGUA
rnacentral:rRNA from 1 species